ensembl:lncRNA
UUUUUUUUUUUAGAACAAUAUAUAUAAAGUCUGAAGCAACCAAAGUAUGAAUACAGCUAAUAGAAAAUAAAGAACUUAAUUUUAAAAAUUCUCUCUCUUUACAGUUUAUCAAGAUAAACCAAAACACAAUUCCCCUUAAAAAUAGGGUAAUAAAAUAGAUGAAAUUUGUAUCACUCGGCUUCGUGAUACUAGUAAAAACUAUAGUUCAUAUCUAUGUACAAAUGAUACAGUUUAAAAACAGUCUUAAAUAAUCUUGUAUCUAAACAUGUUGCAUUAAGGUUUUAAAUCAGAACCUGAAUUUUCUUCCUCCCCUCCUCCCCCCACCCUCCCCCAAGCCCAAUGAAUUUCACUUUUUCUGUUGAAUGUAAUUCAGAUUCAAGUGUGGGUGUCCUUGAGACAGAAGCGAGAACCGCUGGUUACUCUGCAUCAGUGGACCAGCUAAAAGAAAAUGGAUUACAAUUACUUCAGCAAGUUAAAUAUAUUUAACAGUGCUUGGCUAUAUUCAAUGUACUAAUCUUACUUAGAAAUAAAUAGAAAUAAAGCCAUUUACUAGCCUGACACAAAUGCUGUCUGCACAACUAACCCAUUUAAUGGGACAAUGCAGUCAUUACCUUCAUCCUAGCUCCAAAAUUCCCUCACGAUCAUAAUUUUGUUGCAUUGCUUAAGUUAUUUAACAAAUAUAACUCCAGGAUUUUUAAAUCUGGGUCUCACUUGGACACCUUGCUACAGCAAAUGGAUUCUGAAAAACAGGUUUGGUGCCAGUAUCUCUCUUUAUACUAGGUGACCCAACUACAUGGUAACUGCAAGGACUCUGAGUAAAAUUUGAGCAUAGUUUCUCUUUUGAUGGAGCCAAAGGUCUUCUUCCUACACCCUGCCAGACGCUGAACACCUUUACCACUCACUGGCAUCAGAAAGAGUUGAGAUAAAGUCAGUCCUUCAGAGCACCAUGAGUAACUGAACCUGACCUAACUGCUCUGACCGCAGCCGGGUUGGACUGGCUGACUCCAGAGGCCCCUUCCACCCUGGAUUAUUCUCUGGUCUUGCAAGUUUCUAUCUAUGUAAGUCAUUCCACAACACAAGGAAUUAGGACAAAAACGUCUUCAUUUUAACACGCUCAUGGGCAAAUC